rnacentral:rRNA from 1 species
AGCCUAAAGAAAAAAUAUUUUAGGUGAGCUUUGCCCAGUGAAUUUUUAACGGCCGCGGUAUCCUGACCGUGCAAAGGUAGCACAAUCACUUGCCCUNUAAUUAGGGGCUGGAAUGAACGAGUAAACGAGAAUUUCCCUGUCUCUCUAUUAAGUAUAAAAACUAGCCUACAGGUGAAGAGACCUGUAUAUAUNUAAAAGACAAAAAGACCCCGUCGAGCUUUAAUAUAAAUAAGUAUAGAAAUAAAAUUCUUCCCGCAUAUUUUUGUUGGGGCGACAAAGGAAUAAAAAAANNUUCCUAAAAUAAAAGAAAACUAUUCUAGCAAAAGAUCCUAAAAAAGAACACAGAAANNNNUAGCGCAGGGAUAACAGACUUAUUUUUCCAAAG